GAAAUUACGCCUUCAUGAAGCUGGAAUUGCUAGUAAUGGCAGGUCAGCAUACUGCCGUGAAUACGUUCCCGGGCCUUGUACACACCGCCCGUCACACCAUGAGAGUUGGAAAUACCCGAAGCCUGUGAGCUAACUGUAAAGAGGCAGCAGUCGAAGGUAGAGCCAAUGAUUGGGGUGAAGUCGUAACAAGGUACC
rnacentral:rRNA from 1 species